GAAAUGUGAUAAGUAGUGUGAAUUGCAGAAUUCAGUGAAUCAUCGAAUCUUUGAACGCACAUUGCGCCCGCCAGUAUUCUGGCGGGCAUGCCUGUCCGAGCGUCAUUUCAACCAUCAAGCCCCCGGGCUUGUGUUGGGGACCUGCGGCUGCCCGCAGGCCCUGAAAACCAGUGGCGGGCUCGCUGUCACACCGAGCGUAGUAGCAAUCACCUCGCUCAGGGCGUGCUGCGGGUUCCGGCCGUUAAACAGCCUUACAAAACCCAAGGUUGACCUCGGAUCAGGUAGGAAGACCCGCUGAACUUAAGC
rnacentral:misc_RNA from 1 species